rnacentral:rRNA from 1 species
GCCCGCUCAGAAACUUAAAGGAAUUGACGGGGGCCCGCACAAGCGGUGGAGUAUGUGGUUUAAUUCGAUGCAACGCGAAGAACCUUACCUGGUCUUGACAUCCCGGAGACCCUUAGGAAACUAGGGGGUGCUUCCAUCUGGAAGAAUCUGGAGACAGGUGCUGCAUGGCUGUCGUCAGCUCGUGUCGUGAGAUGUUGGGUUAAGUCCCGCAACGAGCGCAACCCUUGCCUUUAGUUGCCAGCAGUUCGGCUGGGCACUCUAAAGGGACUGCCGGUGUUAAACCGGAGGAAGGUGGGGAUGACGUCAAGUCCUCAUGGCCUUUAUGACCAGGGCUACACACGUACUACAAUGGCCGAUACAAAGGGCAGCGACACUGCGAGGUGAAGCCAAUCCCGUAAAAUCGGUCUCAGUCCGGAUUGGAGUCUGCAACUCGACUCCAUGAAGUUGGAAUCGCUAGUAACCGUGGAUCAGCAUGCCACGGUGAAUACGUUCCCGGGCCUU